UACGUAGGGGGCUAGCGUUGUCCGGAAUCAUUGGGCGUAAAGAGCGUGUAGGCGGUCCGGUAAGUCUGCUGUGAAAGUCGGGGGCUCAACCCUCGAAUGCCGGUGGAUACUGUCGGGCUAGAGUGCGGAAGAGGCGAGUGGAAUUCCUGGUGUAGCGGUGAAAUGCGCAGAUAUCAGGAGGAACACCAAUUGCGAAGGCAGCUCGCUGGGACGUAACUGACGCUGAGACGCGAAAGCGUGGGGAGCAAACAGG
rnacentral:rRNA from 1 species